rfam:Myotis lucifugus cont2.2624, whole genome shotgun sequence.
AGGCCUAGAGAGAGAAGCAGGGUCUGAUCCGUAGCCUCCGUGGCAGCUGCUGAUCAGCCGUUGCCUCUCUCUUUCUCUCCG